rnacentral:rRNA from 1 species
UCCUACGGGAGGCAGCAGUGGGGAAUUGUUCGCAAUGGGCGCAAGCCUGACGACGCAACGCCGCGUGGAGGAUGAAGGUCUUCGGAUUGUAAACUCCUGUUGCCCGGGACGAAUGGCUCCGACCUAACACGUCGGAGUUUGACGGUACCGGGUGAGGAAGCCCCGGCUAACUCUGUGCCAGCACCGCGGUAA